CCACUUGCUUCCUCUGUCUUUUUAAUUCUCAAUCUGCUUAACCAGGCUUCAGAGGCCAAGCAGAUCUGAGAUCAAUUUUCUCGUUUAGCUCUAAGUGACAUCAUCUAAAAAUCAUUGUGCAAGGGCUAAAUAAGGAAACGGAGUCUAACUCAGGGGCAAGUGCUGGGCUAUAUUUAUCAAACGCCGGACUCUGGAAAGCCUUGGCCAGGGAGCCUCUGGCUGCGAAAUUCCAGGUUUUCUUGCUUGGUUCCUCUGGGCCCGGCCCGGGGCCGCCGCCUCCGCAGCCCUCAUUGUCCCCCCAGGGUCGGGGGUGGGUGGAGGGGUCCACGCGCACUCUUGUCUUCCUGGAAUCUCCACGGCCCGAACCGAGUAGGACCAUUUGGAAGACGCCAGCAGGUAACUGGCCUCUCAAUACGCCCCCCUGUGAAUUAAAGGUCUUGGGAGGCUUGUUAUGUGCGUGUGGUUUUGUAACGGCGACGCCCGCGGCGGCAGGCCCGAGAAAGACGCCCUCCAUCCACCAAGUUGAGGAGUUGCUAGGAAAAAGCGGGCAUCACGCCAUUAGAAACCUUGACUCGGACGGGACCCCACCCCGGAUACACACAAACACACUCGCGCGCGCUUCUCUGAGUUUCCGUUGAGAGCUCGGAAAGAGCUUUGCUUUCUGAAGUACCUGCGCUCGGCUAGAGCUCUCCUGGCAUUUUAAAUACUGAACGUUGAGCGGAGAAGGGAAACAGAACUUAGCGAUCCCCACCCGGGCUGCCUGCCUCCCGGAAGCCGCGCGGGCCGUAGUCAGAGUGUCUGAGCCCAGCCGAGCCGCGAGCGAAUCGACCUGCAGGCGCUGGAGUCCUGGCCACAGCUACACUCGCGCCUCCCAAGCAGCGCGUGGAAACCACCACCCUCCAGCUUCCCCCGCCCCCGGCCCCGCACCCUCCGGGUAUGACGCCUGGGUCCAAACUCCUGGGGCAGAGCAGUCCAGGGUCCCGGAAGACGACGGUGGCUGCGGGUUCUCAUCGCUCAGGCCGGAGAGCCCCGGGGCGCGCGGGGAGCAGCGGGGCUGCAAACCUGCGAUCCCGCGGAGCUAGGCGCGCGCGAGGGGGUGCUGGAGGCUGGAAGACGCUGCGGGUUCUGCGCGCACGAGGCUGAGCGGCUGUCGGCUGCAGGCCAAGGUGAAAUCUGUUUGGUCGGUGGGGUAUGAAACAUAUGCACCCCAGACUGCGAGGCUACUACUCAGGGCCCUGACUUGACAGAAAAAAAAAAAAGGAGUUUGCAAACAAGCAACGGUUUCUCCAGCCAUUUCUUGGAGCUGCUUACAAGUCAAGCAACAGAACCCAGCGAAGUUGUGCUUGUCAUCUCCAAAGGUACCCUGGAAGUCGGGGAGGAGAGCCGCUGGCCGAGGCCGCCUCAGACAGGCCUUUUCGCUCCACACCUAUCGGCCUGCUUACAACCAUGGGAAGAUCUGGUUAGUGCGAUUGGCUGAUGGGCAUUUUGCCACGGUCCCCAGACAGUUCUUAAACGUCAUUUUUGUGGUCAAAAAUAAAAACCGAAUUCAACUCUC